AGUGAACGCUGGCGGUAGGCCUAACACAUGCAAGUCGAACGGCAGCACAGUAAGAGCUUGCUCUUACGGGUGUCGAGUGGCGGACGGGGGAGGAAUACAUCGGAAUCUACUUUUUCGUGGGGGAUAACGUAGGGAAACUUACGCUAAUACCGCAUACGACCUACGGGUGAAAGCAGGGGAUCUUCGGACCUUGCGCGAUUGAAUGAGCCGAUGUCGGAUUAGCUAGUUGGCGGGGUAAAGGCCCACCAAGGCGACGAUCCGUAGCUGGUCUGAGAGGGUGAUCAGACACACUGGAACUGAGACACGGUCCAGACUCCUACGGGAGGAAGCAGUGGGGAAUCUUGCACAAUGGGGGAAAGCCUGAUCCAGCAAUACCGCGUGGAUGAAGAAGGCGCUCGGGUUGUAAAGCCAUUUUGUUGGGAAAGAAAAGCAGCAGGUUCAUCCGCCGAGGUUCUGACGGUACCAAAAGAAUAAGCACCGGCUAACUCCGUG
rnacentral:rRNA from 1 species